CCUGGUUGAUCCUGCCAGUAGUCAUAUGCUUGUCUCAAAGAUUAAGCCAUGCAUGUCUAAGUACAAGCCUUACUAAGGUGAAACCGCGAAUGGCUCAUUAAAUCACACCUAAUGUACUGGAUAGUCUCAGUUACUUGGAUAACUGCGGUAAUUCUGGAGCUAAUACAUGCGAAAAACUGCGACUCACGGAGCAGUGCUUUUAUUAGAUCAAAACCAAACGGCUCUGCCGUUCCUUUGGUGAUUCUGAAUAACUUUGGGCUGAUCGCAUGGCCUCGAGCCGGCGACGUAUCCUUCCAAGGUGUGCCCUAUCAACUGUCGACUGUGGCAUAGACGCCCACAGUGGUUUUGACGGGUAACGGGGAAUCAGGGUUCGAUUCCGGAGAGGGAGCCUGAGAAACGGCUACCACAUCCAAGGAAGGCAGCAGGCGCGCAAAUUACCCAAUCCCGACUCGGGGAGGUAGUGACAAUAAAUAACAAUGCCGGGCUAUUGUAGUCUGGCAAUUGGAAUGAGAACAAUUUAAAUCCCUUAUCGAGGAUCAAUUGGAGGGCAAGUCUGGUGCCAGCAGCCGCGGUAAUUCCAGCUCCAAUAGCGUAUAUUAAAGUUGUUGCGGUUAAAAAGCUCGUAGUUGGAUCUCGGCAGGCAGGGGGCGGUUCGUUAUUUGACGUUUACUGCCCCAUUUGCCUGUGAUCUUUGGCGGAAUUCUCGGGGUGCUCUUCACCGGGUGUCCCGAGGGGCCGCCACGUUUACUUUGAAAAAAUUAGAGUGCUCCAAGCAGGCUCGACACGCCUGAAUAUUUGUGCAUGGAAUAAUGGAAUAGGACGUCGUUCCUAUUUUGUUGGUUUUCGGGAAUCGACGUAAUGAUUAAUAGGGACAGCCGGGGGCAUUCGUAUUCAGACGACAGAGGUGAAAUUCUUGGACCGUCUGAAGACGAACGACUGCGAAAGCAUUUGCCAAGAGUGUUUUCAUUAAUCAAGAACGAAAGUCAGAGGUUCGAAGGCGAUCAGAUACCGCCCUAGUUCUGACCAUAAACGAUGCCAGCUAGCGAUUCGCAGACGUUAUCACUGUAGGCUCUGCGAGAAGCUUCCGGGAAACCAAAGCUCUUGGGUUCCGGGGGAAGUAUGGUUGCAAAGCUGAAACUUAAAGGAAUUGACGGAAGGGCACCACCAGGCGUGGAGCCUGCGGC
rnacentral:rRNA from 1 species